rnacentral:rRNA from 1 species
UACGGAGGGUGCGAGCGUUAUCCGGAAUUACUGGGUUUAAAGGGUGCGUAGGCGGCUUUGUAAGUCAGUGGUGAAAUACUCCAGCUCAACUGGAGAGGUGCCAUUGAUACUGCAGAGCUAGAGUACUGAUGAGGUAGGCGGAAUGGACGGUGUAGCGGUGAAAUGCUUAGAUAUCGUCCAGAACACCGAUAGCGAAGGCAGCUUACUAAAGAGUAACUGACGCUGAGGCACGAAAGUGUGGGGAUCAAACAGG